rnacentral:rRNA from 1 species
GUGAACGCUGGCGGUAGGCCUAACCCAAGCCAGUCGAACGGCAGCACAGUAAGAGCUUGCUCUUACGGGUGGCGAGUGGCGGACGGGUGAGGAAUACAUCGGAAUCUACUUUUUCGUGGGGGAUAACGUAGGGAAACUUACGCUAAUACCGCAUACGACCUACGGGUGAAAGCAGGGGAUCUUCGGACCUUGCGCGAUUGAAUGAGCCGAUGUCGGAUUAGCUAGUUGGCGGGGUAAAGGCCCACCAAGGCGACGAUCCGUAGCUGGUCUGAGAGGAUGAUCAGCCACACUGGAACUGAGACACGGUCCAGACUCCUACGGGAGGCAGCAGUGGGGAAUAUUGGACAAUGGGCGCAAGCCUGAUCCAGCCAUACCGCGUGGGUGAAGAAGGCCUUCGGGUUGUAAAGCCCUUUUGUUGGGAAAGAAAAGCAGCAGGUUAAUACCCCGCUGUUCUGACGGUACCCAAAGAAUAAGCACCGGCUAACUUCGUG